GUUGACCUCGGAUCAGGUAGGAAUACCCGCUGAACUUAAGCAUAUCAAUAAGCGGAGGAAAAGAAACCAACAGGGAUUCCCCUAGUAACGGCGAGUGAAGCGGGAACAGCUCAAAUUUGAAAUCUGGCCCUCGGGUCCGAGUUGUAAUUUGCAGAGGAUGCUUUUGGUGCGGUGCCUUCCGAGUUCCCUGGAACGGGACGCCUUAGAGGGUGAGAGCCCCGUACGGUUGGCCACCAAGCCUGUGUAAAGCUCCUUCGACGAGUCGAGUAGUUUGGGAAUGCUGCUCAAAAUGGGAGGUAUAUUUCUUCUAAAGCUAAAUACUGGCCAGAGACCGAUAGCGCACAAGUAGAGUGAUCGAAAGAUGAAAAGCACUUUGAAAAGAGGGUUAAAUAGCACGUGAAAUUGUUGAAAGGGAAGGAUUUAUGACCAGACUUUUUCUGGGGGGAUCAUCCGGUGUUCUCACCGGUGCACUUCCCCCAGUGGAGGCCAGCAUCGGUUCCUGUCGGGGGACAAAAGCUUCGGGAAUGUGGCUCCUCCGGGAGUGUUAUAGCCCGUUGCAUAAUACCCUGACGGGGACCGAGGUUCGCGCAUCUGCAAGGAUGCUGGCGUAAUGGUCAUCAAUCACCCGUCUUGAAACACGGACCAAGGAGUCGAACAUUUGUGCGAGUGUUUGGGUGUUAAACCCUCACGCGUAAUGAAAGUGAACGGAGGUGAGAGCCCCUCGGGGUGCAUCAUCGACCGAUCCUGAUGUCUUCGGAUGGAUUUGAGUAAGAGCAUAACUGUUCGGACCCGAAAGAUGGUGAACUAUGCGUGGAUAGGGUGAAGCCAGAGGAAACUCUGGUGGAGGCUCGCAGCGGUUCUGACGUGCAAAUCGAUCGUCAAAUCUGCGCAUGGGGGCGAAAGACUAAUCGAACCAUCUAGUAGCUGGUUACCGC
rnacentral:rRNA from 2 species